GCAGGUGGCAAGCGUUGUCCGGAAUUAUUGGGCGUAAAGCGCGCGCAGGCGGUUCUUUAAGUCUGAUGUGAAAGCCCACGGCUCAACCGUGGAGGGUCAUUGGAAACUGGAGAACUUGAGUACAGAAGAGGAAAGCGGAAUUCCACGUGUAGCGGUGAAAUGCGUAGAGAUGUGGAGGAACACCAGUGGCGAAGGCGGCUUUCUGGUCUGUAACUGACGCUGAGGCGCGAAAGCGUGGGGAGCAAACAGGAUUAGAUACCCUGGUAGUCCACGCCGUAAACGAUGAGUGCUAAGUGUUAGGGGGGUUUUCCGCCCCCCUUAGUGCUGCAGCUAACGCAUUAAGCACUCCGCCCUGGGAGUACGGCCGCAAGGCUG
rnacentral:rRNA from 1 species